rnacentral:lncRNA from 1 species
CCCGCGGCAGAUGCACCCGCAAUGAACGCUAAAGGGACACCCCCGCCCCCAGCCGUACCUCCCCCCAAAACUCAGAGGGAAGGGGGGCUCCCCCGGAGCGCAGCUUUUCGGCCGGGAAAACCGUUCGGACGUUAAAAAAAAGACGUUUUGUCCUGUUUUGCUGUAAGGAAUUAGGAAUUAUUGCUGUUACUGUUGCGUUUGGAGAUUCAUCGCGUUGUUACUCAAGCUCUGCCUGCAGUGAGGUUCCAGCGUAGCAUCCACAACCUCCGCUAAACCCAACCCAUUAGCGCUGAGGCUGCAAUAAAACGAGAACUAAACCGAACCUUGUAUGAACAUCGAUGCAUCCAGCCGCAGCAACUUUAGUAAUAAUCAUAUUCAGGUGCACAAAAUAGUCACAGGGAAAAUCCUCUUUCGUAUCUUUCCAUUUUUCCACCUUGAUUGAAUCUGAAGGAAAUCAGAUGUGCGAGAGUGAUCGAAACGUGCUAAGAUAGAGGAUCUUGCAGGACUUUAAACGCCGUGGCGGCGGAGAUGAGAUCGAUAGAGGAGAGGAAGGAAGGAAAUGGAUGCUAUCUGUCCGAGGGCGCUCCCGCAGCCUCCUCUCCCUCCCGCCCAUCUCCGACGGCACUUUCCGCCACCCCGCUCCGCGCUCCCGCCGCCCGCGGCCGCCGGGCCACACACGCCACCGCCGCCGGUGCGACGGCUCCGGCGAGGCCCGCGGGAGCAGAGCCAGUCGCCGCGCGUUCCCGCCGAGGAGACCCUGACCCCUUGCUCCGCGCUGCUCCGCAUCUCUCCGCGCCUCACAGAGGGGUGCGCGCAGCCUGCCCGCUCUACGGCGGAUGGACAGAUCACCCGGAUUGUUUUUAUUUUUAGAGGAAUGCCCCUUGUUGUUGAUUUUUUUUUACUCCUCCCUAGAUUUCUGUAGGUUGCUAUGUGGCAUGCUGUUUUCAUUUCUUGAUUUUUUGAAAUAACUGUUUGGAUUUAAAUUUAUCGAACAACCUGUUAUCCAUAUGUCUGUCCGAUUAAUUUUUUUAUGGGAUGAUGAAAGAGAGAAGAAUCUAUAUAUAUAGUGAUCUGCUAAUGGAAUAAUAUAUAUAUCCAAAACACCUUUCUGGGGUUACUUUUAUUUCCGGACUUUAAAAUACAGUCUGGG